rnacentral:lncRNA from 1 species
AUUAUGACUUAGACGUGUUAUGGUUCAAUUGGUUAUAUUUUAUUUGGAUUUAUGUGGUUUUGUGAAAUGAAUAAAGUAAUUAUGAUUUUCUUAUGAGAUGAAAACAGUUUUCUACCCUUCGUGGUAGCGUAUUUUAAAAGAAAAGGUUUCCGUGUGAAAAACAGUUUUAAAAAAGGGUUUCUCCUGAUUUUCAUGAUUCAUAGUACUUCAAAAUAUGUUUCCGGGUAGGAAACGUUUUAAACUAAUAGAUAUAGAUUUAUGAUAAACUGUGAUGGAAUGAAUGUGAUGUGGUGAUUGUAUGUGGAUUAUUAUACUGUGUGGUUGUAUUUUGUACUUGUGCGACGCCGUGCAAAUACAUGGUAGACU